rnacentral:rRNA from 1 species
GAUGAACGCUGGCGGCGUGCCUAAUACAUGCAAGUCGAGCGAAUGGAUUAAGAGCUUGCUCUUAUGAAGUUAGCGGCGGACGGGUGAGUAACACGUGGGUAACCUGCCCAUAAGACUGGGAUAACUCCGGGAAACCGGGGCUAAUACCGGAUAACAUUUUGAACCGCAUGGUUCGAAAUUGAAAGGCGGCUUCGGCUGUCACUUAUGGAUGGACCCGCGUCGCAUUAGCUAGUUGGUGAGGUAACGGCUCACCAAGGCAACGAUGCGUAGCCGACCUGGGAGGGUGAUCGGACACACUGGGACUGAGACACGGCCCAGACUCCUACGGGAGGCAGCAGUAGGGAAUCUUCCGCAAUGGACGAAAGUCUGACGGAGCAACGCCGCGUGAGUGAUGAGGGCUUUCGGGUCGUAAAACUCUGUUGUUAGGGAAGAACAAGUGCUAGUUGAAUAAGCUGACACCUUGACGGUACCUAACCAGAAAGCCACGGCUAACUACGUGCCAGCAGCCGCAGUAA